GAUGAAGAACGCAGCGAAAUGCGAUAAGUAAUGUGAAUUGCAGAAUUCAGUGAAUCAUCGAAUCUUUGAACGCACAUUGCGCCCCUUGGUAUUCCGAGGGGCAUGCCUGUUCGAGCGUCAUUAUAACCCCUCAAGCUCAGCUUGGUGUUGGGGCCUGCUGCACUGGCAGCCCUUAAAAUCAGUGGCGGCGCCAUCUGGCUCUAAGCGUAGUAAUUCUUCUCGCUAUGGAGUCCUGGUGGGUGCUUGCCAUCAACCCCCAAUUUUUCUAUGGUUGACCUCGGAUCAGGUAGGGAUACCCGCUGAACUUAAGCAUAUCAAUAAGCGGAGGA
rnacentral:misc_RNA from 1 species